rnacentral:rRNA from 1 species
AUUGAACGCUGGCGGCAUGCCUAACACAUGCAAGUCGAGCGGAGCGGCGGACGGGAGCGUAAUGCCUAGGAGUCUGCCUGGUAGUGGGGGAUAACGUCCGGUAACGGGAGCUAAUACCGCAUACUAGCAGAUGAGCCUAGGUCGGAUUAGCGAGUUGGUGGGGUAAGGGCCGACCAAGGCGACGAUCCGUAGCUGGUCUGAGAGGAUGUUCAGUCAACCUGGAACUGAGACACGGUCCAGACUCCUACGGGAGGCAGCAGUGGGGAAUCUUGGACAAUGGGCGAAAGCCUGAUCCAGCCAUGCCGCGUGUGUGAAGAAGGUCUUCGGAUUGUAAAGCACUUUAAGUUGGGAGGCGUUACCAACAGAAUAAGCACCGGCUAACUACGUGCCAGCAGCCGCGGUAAUUC